GAUGAACGCUAGCGGCAGGCCUAACACAUGCAAGUCGAGGGGUAGAGGAAGCUUGCUUCCUUGAGACCGGCGCACGGGUGCGUAACGCGUAUGCAAUCUGCCUUGUACUGAGGGAUAGCCCAGAGAAAUUUGGAUUAAUACCUCAUAGCAUUAUGAAAUCGCAUGGUUUUAUAAUUAAAGUUCCAACGGUACAAGAUGAGCAUGCGUCCCAUUAGUUAGUUGGUAAGGUAACGGCUUACCAAGACGAUGAUGGGUAGGGGUCCUGAGAGGGGGAUCCCCCCCACUGGUACUGAGACACGGACCAGACUCCUACGGGAGGCAGCAGUGAGGAAUAUUGGUCAAUGGACGCAAGUCUGAACCAGCCAUGCCGCGUGCAGGAUGAAGCAUCUAUGGUGUGUAAACUGCUUUUGUACGGGAAGAAACACUCCUACGUGUAGGAGCUUGACGGUACCGUAAGAAUAAGGAUCGGCUAACUCCGUGCCAGCCGCCGCCGUAAUAC
rnacentral:rRNA from 1 species